GACCUUGAACAAAAACCUGUGUAUCCAGGUUUUCCUAUCUAUGAAGUGUGUUCAUUCUUUCUACCUUAUUUGGAAGGUCAUUAUGGAGAUUAAUGAUGGCUUUUCAGGGAUAAGUUCUGUGUAACUUCUUUUACCAGGAGAGCAUGAAUAUGUUGUCCUUCGGUGAAGUUAGCGCGGACUGAAGUGGCUCCACCAGCUACGCUGUCAGCUGUCGCCUCUCACUACACAGGGAGGUUCAGUGGAAAGAUUUUUGGGUGUGUCUGCCCUGUUUCCAGCAAUUUCCUGAGGACGAUCUCUAAAGGAGUCACUGUUUUUAAUUACUCCACGCAAUGCUGUCAGUCUGCAUUUAUUGUUUUUCCCAGGCAGCCACAGCCAAAGAAACAUAUUUGAAGUUGUGUCUCCGUGUGCAUGGGACAUUUCCAGCUGUACCACACAAACUCAAGUGGCAGAUGCUUGGAUAGCCUGCAGCAGCCUCUCCCCAGCUCAUCAUUUCCCUGAAGUGAGCACCAGCACCAGCCCAAUAGACCAACUGUGUUUUAGAAUAUGAGGCCCAGCCUUGACAUUUCCAGUGAAGUAAAGUUGGAAGGGACGACUCAGCGUUGACUAUGAUGUAACGAGAUGCUUCACAGUCAUGCUGAAAGAUGAAAAAUAUUAUACCUCUGGAAGCCUGAGGUUUGGACUUCCUUGUACACAUGCAGAGGUGUCAGAGUUAUGUCAAGGGAGGUGUCCUAUUGUGGAUCCAAGAGGAGUGCCACACUUCCCUCUGCUCCUUCCAUCCUCCUCUGCUCUGAAGAAGAGAGCNAGGAGUGCCACACUUCCCUCUGCUCCUUCCAUCCUCCUCUGCUCUGAAGAAGAGGACAAGGGCCAUUUCCCAAAGAUCAGGGAUUGGCAAGAAGGGCCUACUGCUGCUUUUUGUCCACUAAGAAUGAACUAAGAAUGGUUUUUAAAUUUUCAAAUGAUUGAAAAAAGGAAGAACUAUUCCUGACAUGUGGAAAUUAUAUGACAUUCAAAUUUUGGUGUCCAACAAUAAACUUUUACUGGAAUACA
rnacentral:lncRNA from 1 species